rnacentral:lncRNA from 1 species
UAAAAGAGAAAUACAGGCGUGAAGCCCCAAAACCAGACCUCCAGGUGGGUGGGACAAGGAUGCAGCCCAAGUACCCAAAUUACUGUUAUCCAGUAGUCCUGGAGUAUCCUGGCCAGAGAACGUGUGGAGGAAGCUGGGAAGUGCACUCAUUUGCAAAGCUGACAAGAUUCCAGCUACCUCUAGUGAUUUGCCUCAGCCCCACCAAUUAAACAGGAAUGCUCUGGCUGAGGUUGCAUCCGAUACUGCCUUGCACCUAAUCUUCACCAGGGUAGGUCAACAUCUGCUGUCCACUGCUAUAUUUUUCUUUUGCAAUAGAACGAGUGAGUGUGAGACUGGCCUGCAUGGAUAGUCCCACCGCUCCUAUUACUGGAUCAAAAUGGAUCACUGCUUUUUUAUAUAUAUUAUUUUCCUCCAUCUAAUACAUUAUUUUAGAAUAUAAAUUCAGAAUAAUAUAAACUUUAACUUACUAAUUUCAAUGUUCUGAUCUUUCUCCCUCCCUCCAUUUCCCUUCCUGCCUUCUGCAUUUUUCAAUAGCUUAUUACCUGCCAUAGAAACCACUGUUUUCUUUCAUAAUUUUUAUCUGACUUUGGACAGGCAGAUAUAUCUAGCCACUGUGACCAUCUCAAGAACUGAUUUUUUUCAUUCAUAUAAAGCUUUAACACUAAAAAAAAGAUACAGUCCAAAAGACAGCUACUAUUACUUAAACUGAAGUGCAGCUUGUAACUGUGACAUUUCAUCAAUUUGUAAAGAUAUGAGCAUUCAAAAAUUAAGUUCAAAAUAAAAUACCAAAAUACAAAAGUCCUGAAUUCA